CCUACGGGAGGCAGCAGUGGGGAAUAUUGGACAAUGGGGGAAACCCUGAUGCAGCGACGCCGCGUGAGUGAAGAAGUCCUUCGUGAUGUAAAGCCCUAUUAGCAGGGAAGAAAAGUACGGUACCUGAGCUAGUAGCCCCGGCCAAUUCCGUGCCAGCAGCCGCGGGCAUACGGAGGGGGCAAGCGUUAUCCGGAUUUACUGGGGGUAACGGGAGCGUAGACGGCCGUGCAAGUCUGGAGUGAAAGGCGGGGGCUCAACCUCCGGACUGCUCAGGAAACUGUAAGGCUGGAGUGCAGGAGAGGUAAGUGGAAUUCCUAGUGUAGCGGUGAAAUGCGUAGAUAUUAGGAAGAACACCAGUGGCGAAGGCAGCUUACUGGGCUGUAACUGACGUUGAUGCUCGAAAGCGUGGGGAGCAAACAGGAUUAGAUACCCCAGUAGUC
rnacentral:rRNA from 1 species